rnacentral:lncRNA from 1 species
AUCAUGAUAGCCUCAUCAUGCAACGUAACUUCGGUGGGACAGGAAAGAGUCGAAGCUACGAGUAUGGAGAUGGAUACGGAAAGAACAACAAACCCAGGAGGAGGUGCAUGCAUACCCAAUCUCUGUAGUUAAAAUGCCCAGCUGGAUCCCUGCUUCACAUCCCCAUAAUACUUGUUAUAUAUUCUUGUAAUAUUUAAAGUAGCUUGCAGUUAACAUUAAGGAUUCUUGAACUCUAUCGACAUUGGAGGCUUAAAUCUUUUUAUAACUAGACAAUAAGCUUAAUCUCUGUAUAACUAUUGAGACGUGGAAUCUAAAUCUAGUUGAAGAAGCUCAAAAGAUGACAGUAUAAACUAGUUGACUUAAUUCCUACCAUUUCAAUGUCUACUUUUGUUCUUUUCAGAACGAAGAUGAAGCUCAAAAGGCCUACCAAGACUCACUUCAUAUACCUAACCUGAGUGAGAAGUGACAUCGAAAUUGACCACAGUUGAGGACUCCUUCUGAUCUAUUUCCUUGGCCUCCCACGUUUCAACGUGCAAUUCAAAAGCCUAUCCAUUUGAGGAACUUUAACAUCACUAAGCAGCCGACGUGUGAGCUGUCUGUGGCCUAUGGUGCAACCGGAAAUCCUUCCUCUUUUAUCUGUAAAAUUGUAAUUGGACAGCAAUUUGAUCACUUGAUUUCCUAUAUUUAUAGUUUAAAAAUAUUAGCUAGUUUUACUGUAUUUGCAGCAAAAUGAAAGAAUCAAAUCAAUCCCAGAGAUGCGGAAUCAGCAUACGUAAUUGACACAGUAUCUUAAAACAGACAGUAACUUCAACUUAAACACACUUUAACAACAGUGAAUGAGAAGAAACUCGUGUCUUUACUUCAAAUUUCAAAAAACCAACAAAAAAACAUCUUGAUAAACAAUUGAAAUGAUUGUGAACCUCUAACUAAGUGGCAUUCUGUAAAGUGCCAUAAAGAAUAGAGAAUCGCAUCAAAGGGAGGAGAAGAAAGAAUAGACCAUUGUGCAUUCUGCUGAAUAGAAGGUAUGUGCAACUACUUAACUAGCAACUAUAAAAACCAGCAUUCUCUAAAGAUGUUCAUCACUAUUAAAAGUGUUUUGGGUUAGCAUUUUCAUAGCCCAGUAAUCUCAUCAAGAUGUCGAUCCAUGAUCUGAGAGAGUGUCUCCAGAAAUGCAGCUUCACUUGUGCCAGGAAGCACGGAAUCCUGUGCCUCUUGGACCAUUUGCUCAAUUGGAGAUUCCUCCUUCAAAUUCUCCCUGCACAUUAUACUUCCAAUCGCAUGGGGAGUGAACCCUCUCUCUGCACCCUUUUUGAGGAGCAUGGUGGAGAUGCGGAGAGUGCGUGCGCACUCUGGUGGCAUAUCCCAUCCAAGGAAUUUCAAAAGGGAAAUAUCUUCUUCAGCAUCCAAUGAUUUUAUAUAUUCAAGUGUCUCAGGUGAGUAGGAUUGACGAGCUUGAGGCCAAUACAGCCAGUCAAAUGUGCAAUCUUCAAACUAUGGAAACAUAAAACUUGAUUAGUGUUUAAGCUUCAAGACACAGCAAAGACGAUAUGAGAAAAAUACAGAAAACACCCAAAAACAGAGAAAAAAAAAAGAGACAGAAUUUGAGCUUUUGAAUGAAUGAAACAAAAAUGACAGUUUAAUGAUACACUCAUAAACUCUAUACAAGAUGGAAACCCCCCCCCCCCCCCCCCCAAGAAAAUACAGAAUUUGAGCUUUUGAAUGAAUGAAACAAAAAUGACAAAGUUUAAUGAUACACUCAUAAACUGUAUACAAGAUGGAAAUCCCCCCCCCCUCCCCCCAAGAAAAUUUGGGCACAGAAUCAGACUGGGAGCAUCACUGAGCUUGCUAGAUAGUUUAAAAUUAGCCCAUCAGUGAACCAUAAUAAUUUUAGUAGUAUAUUGGAGCCUCUUGACUCAGUAAGAUCUAAUACAAGUUCAAUAACCUUCUAAUCAUGAAUAUAUUUCAAGUUAAAUCCACAGUUGAAUUCAAACUAUCCUCGGUACUGUGUUUAACAUUUACAAUCUAAAGGAUGAACCUAGAAACAAAAAUAACAAGAACAGAGUUGAGGGUUAAGUAGUAAAAAACGGAAAACAAGGAUUGUAGUAAAUUACAAAUUAUCAGUGAGCAAACUUACGCUUUCAGGUAAGCAAUAGCCAUGGUCAAUUGGAACCAGCACUGUUUGUCCAUCUUCAUCUUUGCUCAAUAAAAUAUUUCCAGCGUGCCUAUCAGCAUUAGCCAAUCUUAUAUCCAACACAGAGAUUUUAUGUACUUGCUCAACCGGAAAAGACCCAGGACCCAUAUCCUCACAACUUCCAUUGUUUUCCACAAACAUCUGCAAUGACCCAAUCUUGACAAUUGCUAAAUCAUCUGGAUUGUUGAAGCCAGUAUGCAAACACUUGACCAGAGCAGUAGGAAGAACCCCAGCAAAACCCUUCUCCUCACAUCCUUUAGGAUGAUCCAAGAUAUAAGCAGCUACUUCCCUGAAUGCUCCUUCUCCAACUCGUGUACCCUUUUUCAGCCCUUCACCAUCUGGUGACACUGGUAAUUUUCGAGGAUUAUUAACAGCUAAAGGCUCCUCGUCAAUCGGCUUAAAAACAGAAACAAACUUUUGGCCUAAUGAAUCUUGCAUGAAAUAGACUCCUCCAGUACCCUCUACAGACCUGAUUGGAAAAUUUCCAUUGUACAAUCCAUCAAAUGUGGAGUUAAUCAUAUCAACAAUGACCGAAGGUAAUUCAAACUUGGGAUUAACAAUAACAGGCUUUAAUACAAAAUCCCUAUCAGGAGGCUUUCUUGGUUCAACCUCCCUGUCAACUUCAUAUCUUCUACAAGAAUUCUCUUCAUCACCAAGAUCAUAUUCUAGCUUGCGUUUCAAUUCUGGUGCCACAAUAGACAACUCGAAAUUCUUAGCAACAGGCUUAACCCUAACUUUGGCAGAUUUCCGAACCAAUAAAUGCAAUACAGCACUGUUGUGCGUACAUAGAUCAUCAAUAAGCCUCUGAUCCUCUAAUCGCUCCCCAUCACAAACAACUUCGUGGUCAUCAAAAUCAGAAAAACCUUUCUCCCUCUUAGCAAUCUGCUCCUUCACAUAACCAACAUCACGCCCUCGUUCAACAUGAAAGGUAAAUUCUUUCCCAGCUGUAGUCUUAACAUGAAUGACCUGGAGAUCAGAAAGCCUAAGAACUAAGUGUAGAACAUUUCCAUCGUUCACUCCAUAGUCACGAACAAGUGAAUUGCUCCGCGCCAGCUCCCGGCCUCCACAAACCAACUUCUGAUUCUUCACAACAAAACCUUUAAAGGUUUGAAUGCGUAGCUUCAAGGAUUCAAUAGAAUCCGAUUCCAGAACCCGCAUUGGAAUCAUUGAUUCGGAAAGGGCCAGAUAAAUCCAAAUUGAUUCGUUUUCACAAAGACCCAAUUCAGGAUUCAUGUGAUCAGGAGGGAUCAAAGGUUCAUUUCGAACCGGGACAACAGCAAGACCAGCCGAAGACAUGGUUGACUGUGAAAAUUUGAAGAACAAAGAUUUUCCAACACUCUAAAAUUGAAUGCUAAAAAGUCUUAAACUAUCUGUACAGAUCCACAGUAAUUUCCCCCACAUCUUUUUUUUUUACAAUAUAAACAGUACUAUACAAAGAAUAAAAGAAAAAAAAAUCCAAUCCUACAAAAAAUUGAAACCCUAGGAAUCAAAAGCGAAUCCCAGGCUCAAUUCAUCUUGGUUUGCAAGAUUAAAGAUUAGAGAUUGAAUGUACGAAAAGUAUAAUAAUGACAUAAAAAGAAGAGAUUUCUUACCAGAAAGGAGCGAAGAGAAGGGAAGAUGCUUACGUCCAAUUUAGGAAAUUAGUUUAGGUGUGAGAGAGAGAAAAUGGAAUUGCAGAAGAGGAAGACGCGUGUAGCCG